rnacentral:rRNA from 1 species
AUUGAACGCUGGCGGCAUGCUUUACACAUGCAAGUCGAACGGUAACAGGCCUUCGGGUGCUGACGAGUGGCGCACGGGUGAGUAAUGCAUCGGAACGUACCCAGAGGUGGGGGAUAACGCAGCGAAAGCUGUGCUAAUACCGCAUGUGAUCUGAGGAUGAAAGCGGGGGACCGAGCAGCAAUGUUUGGCCUCGCGCCUUUGGAGCGGCCGAUGUCGGAUUAGCUAGUUGGUGGGGUAAAGGCCUACCAAGGCGACGAUCCGUAGCUGGUCUGAGAGGACGACCAGCUACACUGGGACUGAGACACGGCCCAGACUCCUACGGGAGGCAGCAGUGGGGAAUUUUGGACAAUGGGCGCAAGCCUGAUCCAGCAAUGCCGCGUGCGGGAAGAAGGCCUUCGGGUUGUAAACCGCUUUUGGCAGGAACGAAACGGUGUCCGCUAAUACCGGGCGCUAAUGACGGUACCUGCAGAAUAAGCACCGGCUAACUACGUG